UCUAUCACAAAACUGGACAUUAUUUUCUGGUUCCCGCCUAAUGUCUGUUUGAUCCAAACAGCUGUACCAGUCGAUGUGACAUGUCACCACGUAGCCUAAAGUUAAAGUUGAGUUAAUAUACGUAAGGUCUGAAUUGAACAAAUCCAAUCAAUUGGUAAAUUAACAGUUUACUGACAACAGGCUAACAACCUUGCUCGGUUGAACUCUGCAGGGGAGGUGUCUGCACUUUUGCCUGGCUAGCAAUCCUAGAAAGCUACCCUAUAUUUGUUUAAAUAUAGAUUUUUUUGGAUGGGAAGACUGUUCAUAUUCACCUCCUCAAAUUAUACAAAGUAGGGAAGGGUCAGUAUAAAUGCAUCGUAAAUGUACACUGCUGCUACAGUAGCCAUUUCAGGAUUGUACACGUGCAAUUCAGUCCUCUACCAAGUGUCAAAUGAAAGGACCAAUUCGAAACAUUUCUUUAAAAAACUUUUUUUAAGCGAGUUCAGUAAAAAUCUCUUACGGAAGUAAUUUUUGGAUACAAGACAUUAUUUUUAUUUACAAUACAGUAAAUCAAAUCAUACAUCAUUUUAAGUAGUCGUCUGUCCUAAGCAGUCGUCUGUCCCUGAAAGAUCCGUAUGGUUUUGUGUGUCAAUUUUAGCGGAAUCUGUUUCCAAAUGACCAAAAAAACGUGAUAUCCCCAUCUGUAUAAAUGUAACCGUUUCUACAACAAACAACAUGCUUACAGAAUUCCAUCUAAAGAGAAAAGGAUAGGGUUGGUACCCAGGGAGGUCAUGGAGAGGACUGCAGUUUUGGAGAUUAGGGACACUAGAUGUUGAAAACCAUCUACAUGUAGAAUCCUUUCUGGGAGACCUUACGCAUUUUAAAUGGUGUUUAAUAUUUGUUAAAUAAAUUCAUUGUACUCAUCAGCGUGUUUGACAUUUUAAGUUAACGUAUGCAAUGUUAAGUGUUCAGCUAGUUUCCUUGCUGCAUUGACAUAACAUCAUCUUCUGGAUGCUCCAAGUGAUUAAUGGAAAAGAAACAGCCACCUGAUCGCAUGCAUGUGUACACUAUUAAGCAUAGGCCUACAUCAGAUUGGUCAGUUGUUUUGUCAAUGCUUACCGGGGUGUUAAGAAAAAACAAAAACAGCUUUCCUUGAGGAUUUGAACGUUACCACCACUCACUUCAUGGUAAAUUAUGAAGCUGAUUGUGCCUCAAUCGUUUUUCCCACAUGGAGUACCUGAUUGGACAAAGGAUUGGGACAGAACAGAGAUGAGGGUCCAUCGGCCAAUGACCGCGUACCUGUCCCUCAGCGAAGCGGAAUGCUGCACAAAUAUCUGUCCUCUCCAGGCAGAUGAGCUGGAGAGGAACGCCUGCUGUCCCAGUGCACUCCCCGUUGCUGUCAAAGUCACAGCUGUGCCACUUUUUAUUGAUAAGAUAUUUUAUUACACCCGCUAAAUUCAAUUGGAGGCAUAUCCCAACCUGCCAUAUAAUUUCAGCCGUACAUGCAGUUACCUCCAGCCUAGUCUGGCUUGCCAAUGAAUGCACUCAGUUCUCCGUAACACCUGCCAGCCAUGAAUGGGUUAUAUGCAGGAGUCUGUGGUGAACCUUGGAUUCCCUGGGGGUCUCGGUGACAUCAGCUGGUGACAUCGAUAGCAUGCAUGUGCAACUGCGCGCUCCAGCAGAGAACGCUCUUACAUAUGUUUCCUGUGAAGGAGCCCACUCCCUCAACAUCCAGGUGAUCUGCGAUGCUACGUGUAAGGUUACACAUGUACUCAUUUAAUAAAUUUGUUAAUGCAUACUAUUCUCAUCCUAAAAUAAUUGCAGCUGCCAUGUUUAUUUAUGCUUGCAGUCAAGAACAUUUGAGCAACAUUCCUGCAGGCUGCAAGCAAAUAAAAAAACUUGCUUCCCUGUCUUAAAUUGCCAAAUUUGUCUUUGGGAUAGCCUUGAUAUUUUGUUAUCUGUUGUAAGCAAUCUAGCCUUUGGGUAUGAUGCUAUGUGUGCACCUAUAAACCACACACAAAUUUGGCUAAAUGUCUUGCACAAUUGGGGAAAUUCAAGCUCUCCGGCAUCUCCGAUUUCUAAUGUUUUGAUGGCGUAAGAUUCUGCGGCAUGGUCUUUCUCUGUCUGUGGGCAUGAGCAUUAGUUGCUGCAGUAGUAUGUUCAGUAAAUAUGGUGCUUCAAGAAUGGGCACCUGUGUGUAAAAGGCCCUGUCACAGUCUUUGGUAGUGCCUGCGACCCUGCCUCAUUUCACACAGCUGCCGUUUGCAUAUGCAAAUUCGUGGGCUGCUUACAGGUGGUUCCCCCUCCCCCGCUUUCUCCUGACAGUUGAGCGCAAGUAGGAUAGAGCAGAAUUUUAACAAGCUGUUAAUUUUUCUUAAUUAGGUGCUUUUCAUG